AUAGGUGAAGAUAAGUUUUAUUCAACUGCAACAUUGGAAACACUUUCCACAACACUGUUAGCCACAGAUGUUUCAACCUCAGCUUACAGUCCAAUUGUCCAGACUGAAGGCAACAUUGACGCGAGUGCAGAAGUGACAGCUAAUCUGACAGCAGUAGUGAUGACCGCAAUAGUGUCUCUGUGUGUCCUCAUAUCACUGAUCAUAUGUGUGAUUCUUUAUUUCAGAAAACGAAGGAGCAACAUCAACAGCCAAAUUGAAUUGAACUGCUGGUCUUCCGUAUCUUAUUCUGAAAUUUCAGGAGGGUUUGAUGCCCCAUUCAAUUCUUUAGUUGAAUUUAACACAUGAAUCAUGACCUUGCAACUAUUACAACACAUGAUGACUGACAUAAUUUUUUUCACAAUUUAUGCUA